UACGUAGGGUCCGAGCGUUGUCCGGAUUUAUUGGGCGUAAAGAGCUCGUAGGCGGUUCGUCGCGUCGGCUGUGAAAACCUGAGGCUCAACCUCAGGCCUGCAGUCGAUACGGGCGGACUUGAGUACUGCAGGGGAGACUGGAAUUCCUGGUGUAGCGGUGAAAUGCGCAGAUAUCAGGAGGAACACCGGUGGCGAAGGCGGGUCUCUGGGCUGACACUGACGCUCAUGCACGAAAGCGUGGGGAGCAAACAGG
rnacentral:rRNA from 1 species